UUUACGCAGCUUUUACACAAUUUACCUGAUCUGGAACAUGAUGGGGGUUCGCAGGAGCAAAAGUCUGGCAGACAAUCACCAACGGCCUUUUUUCGUUCCGACAUACAGCCCUUUAUGAUAAAGGAUGCGUUAUGGACAGCUGACACGCAGGACUUUGAUGCAAUUCUACCGUUCACUGUGGCCCAAGUACACUGCUCAGAAUCAAGCCCACCCGAAAACUACUGUUGGGCCGGGAACUUGCUGCUUCACGAGCCGGCGCUCCAGGGACAAGACUGCCCGGAGACAGACCCAGCAGAAUCUGGAACGCUAGAGGGAAAAAGUCACACACCCCCGGUUUCGGCGAUUCGUCACAACAAGCGCCAAAAAAGCCGAGACUCCGCACCGGCGAAAAACGGCACAGACGACCACAUAAAUCUAGAGCUGGGGGAUUCCGGCGCCCCGAGCAUUCCGAAUGAAACACCCAAGAGACCUGUUUUUAAUGACAUGUCAGAUGUUGAUGACCAGCUAUUCUGUGAUGCGGCCAACCUUAUAGACCCAGUCAAUACUACGGCCUCAAUACCUGCAGCCGAACA